CUUGACCUUUUGUCUGAAGCCAAUUACAUGAAAAAUGAAGUUGUUUUUUUUUUUUUUUCUUCUCAGUUAUCAUAAAGAAGGCAGAGUAGCUAAAAUAAAUUAUUGGAUAACUACUGUCAGCACUGUCAGUAUUCAGUGAUGCACAUAAAUCCUGACUUUGCUGUUGAGUAGUGAGAUAUAAAUCAGUUUAAUUCUUUCAGUUGUGCCCGUCCCUCCCAGUGUUAACUGAUAUACCUUAAAUUUCAUGCCUCAGUCGUAUUUCUGUUGCUUUAUAUGGUGGUUUGGCUUCAGACCUGGAACAGACAUGUCUGAUCUCCAUGUGAUUGCAGAAAUGUAAAAAAGUACUGGAAGAACAUGCUUUAAGUUGCUUUCAAUGUUUUUCCCCCCAUUCUUUCUUCUUGUAGACUGUAAAUAUCAUUGACAGUACUAAUGGGGAUACAAGCUAUGUGUGUUUGAUUUGACCUUCAGAGCUGUGUCUGUGGAUAUCUGACGUCAGUGAGAGAUGGGAUUUACAUCAAAAUUGUUUAUAUUUGCAGAGAUGAGUUCCUGGUAUUGUGUUUGGAUAUUGCUAAAUGUAGAGACCUCUUCACUUGAGUGAAAUGUUUUCACUGGGUUGUUUUUUUUUUAAGCCCCAAAAUAUUAGAAACAACAGCUGUAUCUUUGUAUUUCUUGAACUCCUGAAGUUUGGAAGUUAAACCUGGUACCAGCUAGAUGGAUGCCCUCAACAAAAGUGGACUUGUUUGGCUCCAGUUUGCUGCUGUGUUUGGCCUUUUCUCUUUAGCUGGAGACCUCUGGUUGCAGAACACUGCUGUAACUUAAGAUUUCAAGGCCUCAAAUCCCUGCUGCUGAAUCCUUCAAACUGGCUACAACUGUUGCCUCUUCUAAAUUAGUCAGGAGUGGAGUUGAGAUUUGUGUUUUGUGCUGGCUGGAUGGUCUGUGCCUCACUUCUGCCUCAAAAAGCCUUUGUGUUGCUGGGCUUUUGGUUACCCAUUACUGCACAAGCAUUAAUACUUUUUCUUUCUUUUGUUUUGUUUUGUUGAUUGUGGGUUUUUUUUAAUGCAAACUCAGACAGCUUUUCUAAAAGACCGCUGUUGAAAAGUUAAAUCUUGACUAGUUCUUCUUAGCUGCAUCUGUAUGUCACGAUAUUCCUGAUGGUUAUUUAAGUUUAAUAGCACUAUUUGUUAUUGUAGUUUUAUCAUAGCUGCCAGGAAAUGUUAAUUUUUCAGUUCAGAUCCAGAAAAAACUCACAGUAAUUGGCUAAAAUGUCACAAAUCAUGGUGACAGUGUUCAGAGGGCAGUGCAUAAAUCUGUACGUGGAGAAGAAAUAAUACAUCACAAACAUGGACUGUGAGUAAUUGAUUCCACUUUGCACUCUGGGUGUGCUGAUCCCCACAGUUUCUUCAAACAUGGGAAAUUCACUGUAUCAUUUGGGGUUAGUGGGAAGAAAGCAUUUGUGCUUAGAAAGAAAAAUAGAAAGCAGAAUGGCAGUGAUGAAAGUCAUGUUUUCCUUGGCUGAGCCACUUAAAGGGCCUCAAAGGGGCUGCUCUGGAAUGUGCUUAGCAAAGGGAGUGAAAGGGAGAGUGUAGAACUGAGCCCAGUUGCCUGUUGUUAAAGUAAAAAUAGCUUUGGAAAUCUUGUUGAUCUUCCAGCAAUAUCAAGUAGAACAGCAGGUGUUGUACAAAAGCUCGGGAACACCUGAUCCUGGUGUGAAAAGUUAAUAAUUACAUCGUCCUGGCACUGCAGCUGGAUCCCCUCCCUUAUCGGGCUGGGGGGGAAGUGUUGCUGAAGGGAGGGGAGAUAUUGCAGGCCUCAAAUUCUUUCUGUGUUUUGUUUUGUUUGGUUUUUUUUUUUUCUCCUUGUUAUUUGCUCACUUCUGAGGAACAGCAUUGUUUUUCCUGGAGUGUUGGAGCGUUAAAGCUCACAAAGCUCAGCAGGUGGAUUUACCAACCCUCCGUUUCCCCGAACUGGCUGAACGCUGCUCCUUGUACAGCAAAACUUUCCGUGUAACCUGGCAGCCAACUGGUUAUGCUCAAUUAAAAGUACCUCAUAUCCAUUUAC